rnacentral:rRNA from 1 species
UACGGAGGGUGCAAGCGUUGUCCGGAUUUAUUGGGUUUAAAGGGUGCGUAGGCGGGCCUUUAAGUCAGUGGUGAAGGCCGACAGCUUAACUGUCGAAAUGCCAUUGAUACUGGGGGUCUUGAGUACAGUAGAGGUAGGCGGAAUUAAUGGUGUAGCGGUGAAAUGCAUAGAUACCAUUAAGAACACCGAUUGCGAAGGCAGCUUACUAUAGUGUAACUGACGCUGAGGCACGAAAGUGUGGGGAUCAAACAGG